GUCUACUCUACGCUUAUAUAUCGGUUGACACAUCUCGGCUGCCCUAAUUUUCUUGAGUUUUGCAAAAGCUGCUCUGCUCUCCUAGGGUUUCAGGUGAUUGAUUGAUUUGAUUCUAAAGAUGUCUCGUGUUUAUGUUGGAAAUUUGGAUCCACGAGUCACGGAGCGAGAGCUUGAGGAUGAGUUUCGCGCGUUUGGCGUUAUUCGAAGUGUUUGGGUUGCAAGAAGACCUCCAGGCUAUGCUUUUAUCGACUUUGAUGAUCAGAGAGACGCGAAAGAUGCUAUUCGUGAAAUUGAUGGUAAAAAUGGCUGGAGAGUUGAGCUUUCCCAUAAUUCUAGGGGUGGUUCUGGCGGGGGAGGCAGCAGAGGUGGUGGUGGUGGUCGUGGAGAAGGGCGUGGUCGUUCUGGUGGUUCAGAUCUGAAGUGCUAUGAGUGUGGGGAAGCUGGACACUUUGCUCGUGAAUGUCGAUCGCGUGGCGGCGGCGGAGGUGGUGGUGGUGGCAGACGCCGCAGCCGCAGUCGGAGUCCUCCAAGAUAUAGGAGAAGUCCAAGCUAUGGGCGAAGGAGUUACAGUCCUCGUGCUCGAUCCCCCAGGCGUCGUAGUUUAACUCCUCGUGGUCGCAGCUUUAGCAGGUCACCACCCCCAUAUCGUGCUCGGGAGGAGGUUCCAUAUACAAAUGGAAAUGGCCGUCGUCGAAGCAGGAGUUAAGUAUUGUAAUUUGAGUACUUCAAGACAAGGUUUUUAGGUCACUUUUUUACCAUGAUUGGACUUAAAUUCAACUGUAUGUUAAGUGGGUGACACCCUUGCUUCGACUCGUGAAUUGGUUUUCAUCCUUAGCUUCGACUCGUGAAUUUGGUUUCAUCCUUUAGCUUCGACUCAUGAAUUUGGUGUCUUCUCUUGUGGUUCUGCUUCAUUGGUUUUGUGCUUCUACACUACUGCUUCAUUGGUUUUGUGCUUCUACACUUCUGCUUCAUUGGUUUUGUGCUUCUACACUUCUGCUUCAUUGGUUUUGUGCUUCUACACUUCCUGUGGUUUCAUUCCCCGCCCCAUGAUUUGGGAUCUUCAAUUGAAUGAUUGUGGGUCCCAGCUGGCUACAUCUCUACAUGCUUGUGUGAUGAAACUCUGCAGCUGUGAUGUUCGUCCACAAUAGUGGCAUUACUUAUAGAUUCUUUUAAUAACUGUGGAGCAGCUUCAAACUCUUCCGGCAGGUACUAAUCUGUUCUACAGAAAUCCGGGUCUUGAUAUUAUUAUAAACAAAUUUAACAAAUUUAGGGUCGAUGCAAGUUUAGGACAAUUGAUUAAAAGCAAAUGGAGAGUUAAUACUCGGUAGUAGUUGGCUAGGAGGGAGUCGUGAUAGAAAAUUAAACUUUCUACGUGGGAUUCUUUAAUAGAAUUUAGGAAGUUUUCUUCUACUAGUUGCUCACAGUUGUUAAAACUGCGAAUAUAUUUUUGAUUAGGAUAACACGAGCAACUCAUAUAUAUCUUUUAUAUUAACAUAUACAAGUUAUAUUAUACUAAAUAUAUUUUAAACUUGACGACCACCGAGUCGAGACUACACGCAUUCUGGAAAAAGAGAGGAAAGCAGACGAGGUAUAUUUUUGAAAACAAGGUCUUUCCAAUCGAGCAUUUACAGCGAGUAUCUUCAUUUUUGACAGUUGUGUGGUUUCUCUUUAAAGGAAUGUAGCAGAUAUAAAUAGUUUUGCGUCAACUUGUAAGAACUCUGUUACUAGCAGAAUAACACCAGGUAUGCGUGGCUCUAUGCGGCUGAAGUGUUCCUUUAUAGUCUAAGAUCAACGUCCCAAUGUGUACACUGAGAUUCUUAGCAAUUUGGGAUGUUUUUGCAUUGCUUUUGUUUCAUUGACACCGAAGAAGAACAUAUGCCAGACUAUUUUUUUGGUCAAGUCAUAUGAACUUCAAAAUGUGGAUUGACGUAUUGAUGAUUCUUACUUGUUCGAGGCGUCAAGAGUGAGAUUGGAUUUCCUGUUUAGUGACCACAUUUGUUUAGAUUACAUUUGGUAAUAAAAUUUGUAACCACUCUGUCGGGGAUGGAUAACCACUCUACAGUUUUGUGAGGUUCUGAAGUUACUUGGGUAGCUGGUACUAAAAAUGUAAUCCUCGUAGAUUUUGCUGUGAAGUGAGAAAUUCAUUUUAAAUGAUGCUUUCAGAUGAAUAGAGGUGGUCAUAUUAAAUUUCCA